rnacentral:rRNA from 1 species
GAAAGCGACGGCUAACUAUGUGCCAGCAGCCGCGGUAAUACAUAGGUCGCAAGCGUUAUCCGGAAUUAUUGGGCGUAAAGAGUUCGUAGGUGGUCUUGUCAGUCUGAAGUUAAAGCCCGGGGCUCAACCCCGGCCCGCUUUGGAUACUGCAAGACUAGAGUAUUAGAGAGGUUAGUGGAACUCCAUGUGAAGCGGUGGAAUGCGUAGAUAUUUGGAAGAACACCAAUGGCGAAGGCAACUAACUGGCUAAUAACUGACACUGAGGAACGAAAGCGUGGGUAGCAAACAGGAUUAGAUACCCUGGUAGUCCACGCUGUAAACGAUGAUCACUAGAUGGUAGAGGAUUUACUGGCACAGCUAACGCAUUAAGUGAUCCGCCUGAGUAGUAUGCUCGCAAGAGUGAAACUCAAAGGAAUUGACG